AAAGGGAAGUCUGGGGUCCCUUGGUGGAGCUGAUGCCCCCACGACCCGGUCCCGAAUAAGCGGUUGAAGAUGAGUUAGUGAGUAGUCAUCUGGAGGAGU